UUUUUUUGUUUCGAUAUUUCGUUACAUUCUUUGACUAGUGUUAUAAAAUGAGCCGCAGGUCUAGGGCGGACUAUUACUAAUCUUUCCUUAACCCGCCAAAAAGUGCACAGUGUUAGAGAGUGGAGGUCAGGCUCUACAAGUAGACGCCCUAAAAUUCACUAAUGAUCCUUCCGCAGGUUCACCUACGGAAA
rnacentral:misc_RNA from 1 species